rnacentral:rRNA from 1 species
UGUAGCUUGACAUUGGGUCUUGGUACUACAUGUACAGGAUAGGUGGGAGGCUUUGAAACCAGGACGCCAGUUUUGGCGGAGCCAUCCUUGGGAUACCACCCUUGUAGUACUGGGACUCUAACCAUAGACCAUGAAUCUGGUCUUGGGACACUGUCAGGUGGGCAGUUUGACUGGGGCGGUCGCCUCCCAAAAGGUAACGGAGGCGCGCAAAGGUUCUCUCAGUACGGUCGGAAAUCGUACGUAGAGUGUAAAGGCAAAAGAG